UACAUGCUCAAUGUCAACAGACCAAUGCUAUUGUCUUCUUAUGAGAAAUACAUAUAUUCGUUUUAAGGCACAAAUACUAAUUGUCACUCAUUUUAUAAUUAUUUCUACAAGCCUUCAUGUAUUUGUUUUAAAGGUCCGGCAAAAGCAACAAGUUUAAAAAAAAAAAAUAUAACCAACAUAAUAAGAAUAAAAAAAAAAUUAUUACUUAAUACACACGACAUACACAACUAAACUGGAGAAAAAAUAUUCAGAAACAAA
rnacentral:lncRNA from 1 species